rnacentral:rRNA from 1 species
GAUGAACGCUGGCGGCGUGCCUAAUACAUGCAAGUCGAGCGAAUGGAUUAAGAGCUUGCUCUUAUGAAGUUAGCGGCGGACGGGUGAGUAACACGUGGGUAACCUGCCCAUAAGACUGGGAUAACUCCGGGAAACCGGGGCUAAUACCGGAUAAUAUUUUGAACUGCAUGGUUCAAAAUUGAAAGGCGGCUUCGGCUGUCACUUAUGGAUGGACCCGCGUCGCAUUAGCUAGUUGGUGAGGUAACGGCUCACCAAGGCAACGAUGCGUAGCCGACCUGAGAGGGUGAUCGGCCACACUGGGACUGAGACACGGCCCAGACUCCUACGGGAGGCAGCUGUAGGGAAUCUUCCGCAAUGGACGAAAGUCUGACGGAGCAACGCCGCGUGAGUGAUGAAGGCUUUCGGGUCGUAAAACUCUGUUGUUAGGGAAGAACAAGUGCUAGUUGAAUAAGCUGGCACCUUGACGGUACCUAACCAGAAAGCCACAGCUAACUACGUGCCAGCAGCCGCGGUAA